rnacentral:rRNA from 1 species
CAGCAGCCGCGGUAAUACGGAGGAUUUAAGCGUUAUCCGGAAUCAUUGGGUUUAAAGGGUCCGUAGGCGGUCUUGUAAGUCAGUGGUGAAAGCCCAUCGCUCAACGGUGGAACGGCCAUUGAUACUGCAGGACUUGAAUUAUUGGGAAGUAACUAGAAUAUGUAGUGUAGCGGUGAAAUGCUUAGAGAUUACAUGGAAUACCAAUUGCGAAGGCAGGUUACUACCAAUUGAUUGACGCUGAUGGACGAAAGCGUGGGUAGCGAACAGGAUUAGAUACCCCGGUAGUCCCUGUCUCUUAUAA